GAUAAAGACGAGGUGCCCUGCCGCUCUUCCUCCCUCCGUAGUGCAGCCCCCUGCUGCCGCCAGGGCGCCCUUUGGACCCCACCAGCGCCCCCUGAGCCUCGCCGGGACCUGAGAUGUCGAUCAGGCAGGCGUUGACGCUGAUGGGCUGCUCUUCCUCAGACGGAGUGCUCUGCUCUCUCUUGUCUUUGUACAAGUAGAGCGAAUGGCCUCGGAGUACAACAUACAUCUGCUUCCAGGGCCGAAUACUUCCACCAACUCGCUAGAAAACAUGAAUUGGCUCGUUAACAGGAAAUACGUGGCUAAGUCUUCGUGAUGGGAACAGCACACGGCAAGCCCCUAACACACCCUGUGUGGACACCCAGAGCAGCAGGGCCUGUGCUUUGGGAGUUCACAAGAGCUUAGGAGAUGCACUACCUUCCCCUUAUCGGUGACAAGGGGUCGGAGCUGGAGCCACCCUUCCUUGGCUGCAUCACUGAAAACCUCCGGGGAAGAGCCCUUCCUGGACCCGGAGUCUUCUGAUGACUUCUGGCUGUCAACGAUCUAAGAAAAGGCCAAGCAAAAGUCAAUGUUUUACUAAGUUACCUGAGAGAAUUUAACAAUUAAAAAAAGCUACAAAUACUACAGUAUGCUCCUCUUCCUUCUCUCAUGACUUCACAUUUUAGUAGGAAAUAAGCAAUUUUAAAAGAGAGACAAGAAAAUGAUGAAUUUGUGAUUUGUGCCAUUUGGAGAAUGAAAAUAAAUGCAAUAAUGAGCAAGUGAGUAGCAACUAUAAAUCGAUGAGGCAAAGCCUCUGAGAAAUAACACCAGG
rnacentral:lncRNA from 1 species